CCGCUUUGGAGGGAAGAGGAACAGGAGGUGGUGGAAGUGUUCGUGGUGAGGAUCUGGAUGUACGCGCCCGGGGCGGCAGCGGCGGCGGCGGCGGCGGGGAAGCCGGGGCUGGCUAGCAGUGCCCUUUUGUCCAUGGAGGCUGCUGCGGCGGCGGCGACGACAGCCGCCCCCUCCCCACCCCCGGCGGUCACCAGUCGGAGUUUCCAAGUCUCUCCUCCUUCUCUCCUCCCCGCCCGGCGCUUCCGAGCCCCUUCUGUCUCGUUUCUUUUUAUUUUUCCGCACCGCACGGGCACCGGGGGCCAAAAAUAAUCGGGGCUCUGGAGAGAGGAGGGUCCCGGCCGCACGGAUAUCGGGCCCCGAGGGGGGAUGGAGGCGUCGGGGGCGGCCGAUGCAACGGAUUGCGAGGCGGCGGCGGCAGCCCGGGUGCUGCGGCCGGCAGCUGAAAAAUGGCUCCAGGAAGCUGCUGCUGACAAUGAAUGAAGGGAUACGGUUUACGCGCCAAGGUCCUCCCGCGAAACUCAGAUUUCCCGCCGGCUUUUCAAACCAUAUUUGCAUAUCCCCGCCCUUCAACCCGCCGAGGACCGUUCCCACAGCCCAUUGGGCCUCUAGCUCCUUACUUAAGUCCCAAUCGUGGCGCAGGGCCGCGGCUGGCUGGUUUCCAUUGGCUGUCUUGCAUCACGGUUACCGGGGCGACAGGGGCCUCAUUUGCAUAGACCUCCUUGAUUGGCUAAGGGAGAGCAGGGUCUUUGGGAGGUGGGGCAAAAGCUUUUCCUUCUCUCCCACGGAAAGCCACGCCUUGUCCAAGCUCCGCCCGGUCCCCGCCCGCACGCCGGGCGGGGGCUGCUGACCUGGGCAGGCGGUCAGGGCCCCGCAGACUCAGUGUCAAUCCGGUCUGGAGCGCAAGUUUCGCUUUUAGAAAUUGUCAAGGUGACCAAGGGGACACUUGCGGGAAUUCUCUUUCCUUUGGCCAGUCAGUGUAAUAGAUGAGCAAAAGCUGGAGAUUCUCCCAAAUAUGUUCCAAAGGCAAGUUGGACCACGCGGACGAUGCCUGGCAGGGCAUUUGGUAGAAAACAAACGUUUUGACAUGGUAACAUGUGGUGAACCCCAGGUUGAAGUGGUAGAGAGAAGGGUCCGGAGAGAGAAGAGAAGGUGUUGGAAAACGAGAUGCGAAAAUUUGAGGCAACAAGACUCCAGCCAUACCAAACUGCCUGAAGUUCCUCAGAUGGUCUCUCCCACUUCCGUUACUGCUACAGCUGUUACUCUGCUUGAAAAUGCCCAUCACUGUCUGUCAAAAUUCUACAGUUACUCAUCUUUUAAGGCUCAGCUCAGGGAACACCUCCUCCGUGUAGAUUCCUCAGAUCACAUCCCCCGCCCCCUGCAAUAUUUUUCAUUCAUCCGGAGAGUGUUUGCUGAGCAUGUACUUUGUGUCAGACUCCAAUUUAGAAACUGCGGCUGUAAGUGAGAAGCAGAUAAACUUAGAGGUUGUCUUCAUCAAGCUUAAGACAGAGACUCGCAAGUAGGGAAUAAUAAUAAUGACAUAGUGAUAGCUAUAUAUGAUAAUCAUACAUGAUAAGUGCCGUGAUGUGAGGCAAUACCUGAGGCUCUUAAAGCACCGCAGAAGGACACCUCACCUGGGCUUAGCGAGAAUUUAGGGAAGGCUUCCUGGAGGAGGAAAUAGAGGAAUGAAUAGGAAUUGCUCAGGUGAUAUAGCAUGGGAGCAGGGAACAUGAAUGCAUGGCCUCUUGAAAAAAAUGGAAGUGGUUCAGCAGGGGAUUGUGGAGUACCUUAUAAACCAGUAUGGAGACAUUUGGAAUUUUUCCUAAAGGCAACGAGAAGUCAUUGAGACGAUGUAUGACGUGAUAAGAUCUGGUCUAAGAAGGACUCCUGGCCGCAGAAUGAGGAAUGUGUUGGAGGGGCCGGGACUAUGGCAAUAAUCUAGGUCAGCGCGCCAUGUUCCAGGUCAAAUCUGGCCCAUGGUCUGUUUUUAUACACCCUGUGAUCUAAGAAUGAUUUUUAUCCUUUUUACACUUUUGAGUGGUUGAAGAAACAUCCAAAGAAGAGUGUAUCCCACGACACAUGAAAAAGUAAAUCAAAUGCAAAGCUUGGUUUUUGUUAAUAAAGUUUUAUGAGAGCAUAGUCAAGCCCAUUGGUUUACAUAUCGUCUAUGGCUGCUUUCGGGCUACAAGGGCAGAGUUGAGUCAUUGCAACACAGUUGAACCCAUGAAGCUGAACAUAUGUAUCUGGCCCUUCACAGGAUAAGUUGGCCAACCUCUGAUCUGAGUAAGAUAUCAUAGUGAAUUAGACCAGGCUACCCAGGCAGAUGUAGAUGUCUCCUCUUUUCCACAGCAUGUGAAUUAUGGUAAUCUAUUGCUUUCUUAUUGUUUUUUUUUUCUCUUCCAUGAAACUGUGGACGUCUUCAGAGCAGAUAUUUUUCUUUAGUUAACCUUGUCUCUCGGUACUUAGCACGCUGUACUUGCUCAGUAAAUGUCUGCUGGAUAAAUGAUGUAUGUGGGUUUAUAUGUGUGUGACACUCACGUAUAGAUAUACAGAAAGCAUCUGCUGUUUUGCCUGCUGCCAGGAACCUUGUGAUUUAGUUGAAGCUGAGCCCCUUUACCCCCACUCGAGGGGUGGCACUGUGACUCAGGCCUGUCCAGCAAGCCUUUUUUAGUUAAGUCUUUGCUUUUAAUACUUGGAAACUCAUAGGGCCAUCUUUCCCUUCAUUUAGUAUUGCCUAAAGUUGACCUUGCUUUCAUCCUGCCCCAAACUGGAGGGAUAUCCAUGAUGAAAACUCAAAGUUUAUCCCCCUAGUUACUCACUAGUCCUGUUCUUGUACGGUACAUGUUCUUGUAUGUGGGCAGGUGGAUUAGAGCAUCCUGGUGCUUUUGGGAAUGCCCUUGGGUGGAGAAGAAGCCCUCAGAGAAACAAACAGGAAAAGUAAAAGAAUAGCAAAUGUAAAAGGUGGAAGGCAAGAGGAAGAAAAGAAAGAGGUAGAAUGUGGAACCACAGCAGUGUGAUGGACAGUUGCCUGAAAUGCCACUAAUUUGCACAAACGGAAUCUAAGAUGAGUGGCAGGCACUUUGGAUGGAAUAUUAAAGAUUUUAAGACACUGGAUAUGAUUUAUCAAAUGUAAAAACAUCUGAAUUUGUGAGUACUUCAUAGAUUAUAAAGCCUUAUGCUUUUACAUGAAAAUAUUUUAACUUUACAAGUAA